rnacentral:rRNA from 1 species
UGCCACCGGUAUGUGCACUUUCCUCGGGUAGAGCGCCACGACCGGUUUUCCGGCGUCAGAAGCCGGUGUGGAAGGUGACCACCUCUUCGGAGGGGGUGUAUAGCCACGCCGCGUUGGCUCGUCGGGAGACCGAGGAACUGCCGUGCCUGCCUGCCUUCGGCCCUCGUUGUUCGAUCAAAUUGAGUGGACUGCUUGCAGUGUUCUCUAAGCGCGGAUGGCGAUCGGCUGGAGCGCACAAGGUACUUCGGGUCAGUGGCGAAUCGGUCGGCCCUCCACCCGACCCGUCUUGUAACACGGACCAAGGAGUCUAACAUGUGCGCAAGUCAUGGGGUUUUACGAAACCUAAAGGCACAAUGAAAGUGAAGGCAGCCUCGGGUUUGCCUAGGUAGGAUCCUUCCUUCCGGGGGGAGGCGCACUACCGGCCCGUCUCGUCCGCAUUGUCGGU